GUCAUAGAAGUUCCUAAUUGUUUGAGACCUUUUUUAGGCACAUUAAUGUUUAGUAAAUGCAACAAGCUCUUGUGGUGAUGUGGCUUACUUCUUGGUUCAGACCUCAGUAUCCCCACCAGGGGUUGCAGUAGUCUACAUUAAUACAUGUCUGGAGAGGAGGUUCUGGUUCAGUUUCCUCUGAAGAGAAUCUGGUUUGUAUGUACCAGGGACAUUCUAUAGACUGGACCAGUGCAUGGUAGUUUGGAUUCAUGAACUGUAUGAUCAUCAAACUUCUCCAGUGAUCUCCUACCUUUACCGAUAUGCUCUGUCUCAUUUUGCCCUGCAAUAGAGAGGCUGUGACAGACAUCUCACUCAGAACAGCGUCAAAGAGCCCCGAAAGGCUUUAUUCCCUGGCUUCUUGCUCUGACAGUUGGCUGACUCUCUGAGAAAUGAGAAGUGGUAGAAAAUUCUCCUAAAGUAUUUCUGAAGACAAAGAAAAACUUGAGAAUUGUCUCGGAAGAUUUUUUCCACCUGAGCUGAACUGUUAAACCUGAUGUCUGACAGGUCAAGGAGGAUGACUAACUUGGUAAAGCUUCAACAAAAGCAGAAACCUCAGAAAAGCAUCCAUUAGAAGCCCAUCACUGAAAACACUCUGAAAUUCAGUAAGGGCCUCUGUCGGAACAGGAGCCAAAUGAAGACUGGGGAUCAGGUCAGUUUAUAUUAGUCACAGAAAAGGAGGUUAUUCCUGUCUUGAAGAAUUUGUAGUCCACCUGCACUUCAAUAUCUACUGUUGCAUGUAAUAGAAGCCAGCAGAAGUUGUUGGAAAACUUUCCACAAUCUUAAAACAACAACAAUAACCAUAUCUGGGUAUGUACAUUUAAUUCAGUGCAUUGAUUUCAUUAAUCUUCUGAGGAUGUGUUUACUUUUAUAUGGUUCAUCUGAACAAGAAAGCUAAACACAAUGUGGAAGUAGAGAGAAAAAAUAAAGUAACUGUAUUGAAUUAUUCAUGGAAAAAAGUUUAGGACCAUUCUCCCCUAUUUUCCUGUGAAGAUUGGCGCUGAUGCAGGAAUGUCCCUAAACUCCUGCAUGAUAACUACGGUUGUUUUUAUUGCAGUUUGAAAGAGUCUUGCAAAAUUCUGUUAGUUGCUGAUGGAGUAUUAGGAGAUACAGGCAUGACAGGGUAAGAGUUUUAUGAAGACAGGGCACAAGCAGAAGUGAGUCAACAACAGAGGAGAAAAAAUAGGGAUCUGAAGAGGAAGUAUGUGACUAAAAAGCAAAGAGAAGAACAGCAGGCAAUUUGUUUUGUUUCCUAAAGAAAUUCUGGAGGAUCUGACCCUCUGCAAGAUGUAGGUAAGGAGUCCAUCAGUGCUGGACAGGAACAGCAGUGCAUUCUGCAUAGUGAGACCUCAGGGUAAACAAAAUUAGAACAGGAGCAAAAUAUUUUCAUUUCUUAUGCAACAGCAGUAAAGAGAUAAUACUAAUGAUAAAACUAGACUCUUGGGUAGCGUCCUCUCUCCAGACACGAGCCAUCACUGAAAGGAAUAUGCACUCUGAGGCCUAGAUGAUUUUGAUACAUCUAUGUAGCUAAAAUGUCAAGGAGAUAGCCUUGGAGUCAGCUGGAGAUUGCCUGACCUCUGACUCUUUCUACCAGUAAAGAUGUAAUUCUCUCUCUCUUCUCACUCUCUCUCUCUCUCUUUUUUUUUUUCUCUUUUAUAUUUCAACAUCUGAUGGUUGGUUUUGCAGGAAAGCAGAACCAUGGACAUGGGUCAGAUCCUGCAUAUUUUUUCCCCCUUUUCCAAUCUCUUUUGUUUGCUUUUUGCUAUACACUUAUGGUGACACAUCCCAUCUGGUCCUGCUGUAUUGCACGAUCCAAGAUAAUACAUAGUGCUGUUAGCAGUCAAGAUGGGACACAUCAUAGCUUGUUCCCAGUCUGUGUUGCCAAGGACCUUAAUCUUCUGCUUCAGAGUUACAAACAAUUUUUAAUUUCAUUUGAAGACAUAGAGUGGUAAACAUCUCAGAGAACUCUACAUUUCCGUGGUCUGGCUGAUUCUGCACCCCGACCAGCUUGUUUAAAGCUUCCUCAGGGAUCUUUGCUCCAGAGAUACCCUGACUGGGCUGGAGGUCAGCAAGCUACGGUUUUCACAGUUCAGAUCAGCAGACUUCACAAUCUUCCACAUCACAGAUCUGUCAGCCUUUGGGCAGUGAUUACCAAGGAUAUCAAAUGCCCUCUCUGAUGCAAGUACUUUCAUUGGUUUUCCACCCUCUAACGCUGAGUUUGUGAAGGAAUUCAGCUCUUCAUGCAGCAUCUCCACAAACAUGGAAAAUGAAGAGUUUUGAUCAAACAAGGGAUUUCAAGCUGUAGGCCACACCCUGUGCUGUGAAUGGUCUUUUAAGCCUGAAAAAAUGCAUAUUGAGGUGGUCGUCUUGAACAGAAACUGCACCGUACAUUUUCCAUCUUGGUUGGUGAUGAUCGUACUUGAGAUAUUAAAUUGCACAUGGGGGGUGGGAGACUGGGGGAGUUGGGGAGCUGUCAGGCCAGCUCCCUGACAGAAGUAAGGAGAUGCUAGAGGGGUUGCCAGGUGAAGACCAAACCUACCAAAAAUGCCAGAGAGGGACCCUCCCCAGGCCUUUCCCCAUGGGCAGGGGCUGCAUAAGGUGGGAUAGGCAUGUAGACACAAAAGGAGGGCAGGUCUGGCUGUGCUCACAGCAGCAUUGGAGCAGCCUGGUGUGGUUGAGGUGAACCCUGGAAAAGCAGCCAUGUUUUAAAUGAUCUGAGGCUCACUCUUACCAAGUAUUAAGAGAUUUCCUACAAGCACUGGAGCUGAUCUGGGGAUUUCUUUAGCAGCUGCUUAUUUAAGAAUCAGCCAUUGUCCUUCCUUAAUCUGAAUUCAGAUCAAGCCAGCCAGUAAUGUUUCUGCUACCAUCAUUAAAUGUCUUAUUUUUAAUUCAUUUGCAGCAAGGUAACAUAUACAAUGAAUAUGGGGUCAUAGCACAGCCUUGACACUGAAUUGUGAAGAACACAGGAUUUCUUUAUUGAGCAUAUCAAGCAAGGGAUUCUUGCAGUGCAUUGCUACAGGUAUAAAGGGAAGGUGCAUUAAUUUCAGCAGUUGGGAGAUCUUUUUAAAGUUGGUUUUCUUGCCCAUCUUUUUGUCCAGAUUCUCAUACCUCUUUACAACUAUUUUCAGAAAAAAAUGAAAAAAAAAAUGAAAAAAAAAGAAGAGUAGACGCUGCAGAGUCUGAAUCUGUAUAAGGUCAGCUGUGCUUGCUAGAGUGUAAUUUUCACUUAUUAAUGUGAAUAGAAGACAGCUAUAAGUCUGCAGCUAAAUUUAAAUUUAGGUGUUGGAGCAAUAUAAUUGCUACUUUGAAUUGUAUGAUAUUGCUUUAAAAUUAAUGAUUAUUAAAGAUUACUUGUUCUGUGUUUUUGUUUGUUUGUUUGUUUUACUUUGUUUAGGUUUCUUUUAAAGAGCAGGUUCCAUUACAUUUCUAAGUACAAUAACCUAAGACCAUGUCAACAAACUGUGUAACUACAGACAUUUCCAUCCUAGCACAGAACAUAACUUAGCCUGAACUCUAAGAUUAUGAAUUUUAAGGGAAAAUAAGUGUUUUCUUCAAAUACCCCUAGGAGGAUGGCAACAGGGGGAGAAGGAUUAUGUUUAUUGUUUGUAAUUAACUACAUCACAGUUGAAAGUUAAUUUUGAUUUAGAUAAACCACCCACUGAAUAUCAAGUUACUUCUCAAGAUUCUCACCCCUUUCAGAGCCUAUCUGUCUCUGUGGGUCUUGAGACUAACUGCUGUUAAGCCUCUCUACUUGUAACAGGUGGUUCUGGCUAAAAGUCUAACAACCCUGGUGCUACAGGGUGGGGCAAGAUAUAUUUUUGCUAUUUAUAUGAGAUAAGAAGUUGUAAGUCUGAUCCAGGCCCAUGUUUGGAUUGCCUAAGAAAAGGUCCUUUUGAGUGUAGGGCAUGUAUUCUGGUGUAGAAAGAAAUGAAAAAGUGAAACAUUACCACACACUUGUCGUCAUGAAGAAAUGUUUGCAUUGCAGAUCCCUAGUAAGAAGUGAUAAAUUCUUCAGCAUGCAAAGACUAAGCAUAUAACAGAACAAACUUCUCUGAGGACCCUGUGCAUUUGAAGUGGUAAAAGCUGUGAUUUCAAUGCUGUGAUUGCAGAUGUGUGUGUAAAGAAAUACUGAACAUGGAAGAUCUAUGCUCCAUGACAAAUGGUAGCUGUGGUUGUGUCUUUCCUUUGGGACAAGGCAGAAGAAUGAUGACUCCUCAUAUUCACUGUACUUUGCUUAGGCUAAUUACUAGGAACUACAUGAAUUUGCAAUGAAUUUGCAAUAAAUAAUUUAUCCAACAUACCGAAGUCUCAUUUUAUAUUCACUUAGAGCAUUAUAUCUGCAAACAAAUGAAGGACUUAACAACCAUGCACAAACCUUUGAAACUAGGUGUGGUUUGGGACCCUGACUCUGAAUCUCAAGACCCUCCCAAAACUCCAGUGGCUGCUGAGCUAGGAUCAGAAGUGUGUGCUGACAGGCCUGACUCCCCCUACCCUGGGAUGUAUGGGGUCACCUAAACCUUCUGGCUUCUCAAAUAGCUCAGCUUAGCCUGAGACAUGAGUUCGCAGAGUUUAGCAUUAGUUCUCUGUGGACACUUUGUCCAGGGUGGGUGAGUCAGCUGACUUAAUAAAAAAAAAGGUGCAAAAAGCAUUUUCUUCAAACUGAGGAUUUCUCCACUCCUAAGGAAACACAGUCAGCAGGACUGAGACUGUGUCCCCCCUGCAUCAGUCAGGCUGAGGACAAGGCCCUUGAUCUCAUAAAAAGGCAGUUAAUGUUAUCCAUUAAACUAAAAACAAGCUCAGCUGGGGACUUCAGACGGUGACUUAACUUCCUCUUCUCCAUUCUGCAUCUAGACAGCAUUAAAUAGACUCAUUGUACCCAUAAGCAUUUUCUAAACAGAUGCAUUAGGUACUAUCUUCAUGAUGACCUUUUAAAGCAGAACAAAAACCUUAUGAAAUCAUAAUUUGUCACUUGCAAUAACCAAAAGCUGGGUAAAAGCCCAGCUUGUGGGAGGCUAGUUUGAUGAAUGAGAGCAGAACAGUGAUGAUGGCACAGGAAAUGGCUCCAUUUCAGUGGUACAAACUGCUUGGUCGCCCUUUGCCAUUAAUGUUGCAUCUGCACUGUACUCUCCCCUGGUGGGUACCAUUUGAACACCAUAUGUGAUUUGGGGCCUGUCAAGGCUUGGUCUUAACUCCAACCAGUCAGGCUGGACUCUGCAAACACUACAAGGAUGUCACAGAAGUUUUUUAGGCAGUGCUCAUGAGUGAGCACACUGUCCUUAUGCUUUAUCCCAGCACUGUUGCAGAAGUGAGGGCUAUCACUUAGAGAAAGGUCUGUAGAAUAACAACCCUGGAGAAAGUGCUAAAUAAGAUAGUCAGUGCAAAUAAAUGAUGCCAGAAGAAAUAACAUUGCCUGGAUUUAGGGCAAGUCCAACAUGCAAUGAACUGGCAGUUGCUCCAUCCAUAUGGAUUGAUCUGUGAUUUGGGUGGCAAGUGGAAAUGGUGCGGUGUUGUCCUUUGAGUGUGCUGGCUGACUUCAAAGCUGUGCCAAGAAAUAUUACGUCUCUUCAGAUGACACAGUUACACACCCUAGCCUGACAGAGCUCAGAGGAGUCUUCCUCAGGGAUUUCCAUGGUGUGUGGGAGCAGGGAGUCUCCGUGCAGUCUAUGGAGUCCCCAAGCCCCCACUUUCUAUAAAGAAAAUAUUGGAGGCUGUGUUGGGCAGGUUGGCCUCUUCCCAUGCAUUUUCCAUGGGGCAAAGGUGAUGUAGGGUGCAGCAUGUAGCUGACGUUCAUGGCCUACCCUCUUGAAUCAGAAUUAACUUCUUAUUCAAGGUCUGAUUUAAAGUGUGACGAAAAAAAAAAAAAGAAAAAAAAAAAAAAAAGGAAAAAGCCGAGUCAGAAGCAAUCUCUUCCUCCCUCCCCGUUUUCUCCGUGCAGGCGAUACCUGUUUGCAUGCAAAUGUGAGUGCUGCAGCAGCUCAGGAGAGCGGGCGAAAGCUGCCUGCCCCAGUGGCCCAGACAGCAACAUUCCUCCAGACCCAGGGACGAGGGUGGGGCUGAAGCAGCCAAGGGAAGAAAAUGUCAACAUCUGUCUGUCACUGCACGGCAAAUGGCCAAUUAUCAUUUUUUUUCUGCCUUUCUAAGCUCCAGGCAGACAAAGCCGCCGAGCUGGAGGCUUUGUUGCCUGCACCAUUUCCCACCACCGCUCCACCUCUGAUAUGCUAAUAGCAAAACUGAACGGUUUUGUGCAGCUCAAAAGGAUCUUUGGGCACAUUCACUGGGUCAACAAUCCCAACUGCUGUGCAGGGGCUCAGCCUGCUGCGCAAGAAACCCGGUGCCAAGGGAUGUCCCAUGUCCCUCCCCCACGCUCCUCCUUUUUUUUUUUUUUUUAUUAAAAAAAAAAAAAAAAAAAAAAAGUGGAAUUAACCAUCUGUCUGUCUUGGUGCCCAGAAGCCUAGCUGAACAAAUUGUGACAUGAUAUACUCCUAUUGGAUACUUUCUGGGCUGGCAUGUGAUAAGCUGGGUUGGGCUCUCCAGUGCAAAUCCCUGCCCCACUUAAAUGUAGCUCGAUGCCCCCUCUCCGCUUCGGGGCACCGGCCACCUCUCAGCAGCUGAGCAGCUAGGUGGUGCAGAAAUACUUCUGCGUUUGUACAGAUGCGCUGCAUGCAUGAGAGCAAAAGUAACACUGACAAACAGUCUUUUGUUUAGGAAAUAAACCCUGUCAUACAUGCAAUGUUCGGCGCAGAAAGCCAACUUGAUGACCUAAUCCUGUUUAUUGUGUAGGGGUAGUAAGGCACUUAGGUAAUAAUUCUAGAUCUGGUUGAAGAAUAAUUGCAGGUGGCUUGUUGGGUGGCUAGUUUCCCAUUCACUGAUGCUGUAGAAGUGCCAGGGGAAUUGAGCUGUAGGGCAAUGGAAGACAAGGUGCUCGUAGAUCUGUGACAGAUUUUGGAGUAUUUGUUUUCCAUAGUUAGUCACCUGAACUAAGUGUGAACUUUAUGAAUGGCAUACCACUCCUUUUGCUGAUGCUCUGCUAAUACCAUGAUCACUUUAUUGAAGAAAAAGCAAGUUGGCAAGUACUGCAACUGUAAAAUCCGAAGCAGUUUUGUGAGCAAGCAAAUGUAUUUAAGUUUGGUAAUAUACCGUCAUUACUCAAACCAACUAUGACACAUACAAGCACAUCUACUGCAAGCACCCUAUAAAAGCUGCUGGACUUAAGGCCCAAUGACAUGAAAUAAAAGCUGAAUAAACAAAGCAGUUAAAUAGUUCAAUGGCUUCCAGUUGACCCUGAGCAGAGAUCUGUGUAAAGCUGGAUGAAUACUGCAGCCAAGAGAAAGGAGACAGUUGUGUGUGGUGUUUAUGAGCCGCAGUUCUAAUGUAGCCUGCAUGAUAAACAGUGCUGUAAUAACAGCUGACCUCUGCCAUAACUUGCUUUCUUCUCCUCUUAGAUCCUGCUCGUGGGCAGUGAGAGAAAGGUGAGUCGAUCAUCUGGAUCCAGAACCAUCCACCAUGAAGGCUCAUAAGUAUUUAUUCCUCCACAAUAGAAUCAGCAAGCAUAAUUUCUGAUUGUGCUUGUACCUUUGAUGAAAGGAAUCCAACUGGAUUUAUGGAAACAAAAGGGCAGAAAAUCCAACACAACUGCUAUGGACUGGACCUGAAGUUUCUGAGACCUCGGUGUAACAUGACAGAAUUACAGUACAGCUUUUCAGGCUACAUUUAUACUGGAAGAAAUAUUCCAUGUUUAUUCGGGAAUGGCCCACAAUGGGUUUGAACUCCUACUCAAAUGUUGAGCAGGAGCAUGGGCCGAGGCCAUGGGCCAAGCACACAGUCCCACAGAGGAACAGUGCAGUCUUGCCUCCUGCUCCAGGCUGGGCUUGUAAAUCCUUUCCUUCAAACAAGGUGAGGUAGAGAGGGGCCUGAGUUGUGCAGAAUGGUUUUGGGUGUUGUCCCAUAAUCUCUGGAUAAUCUUGCAUGACUGUUUGGUAAAAAGUCAUUGCCAGUUGCCUGCUUUGCCCCUCUGCCAGAGGUCACCACUGUCCCAGAGUCAACAAGACGGCAUCUCUUUCCAUGGCAUCCUGUACCUGAGCACAAAUCACUGAAGGAGCUGCUUCAAAGACACUGGAUGGUGCCCACAGACCAUGUUGACCUCUGCCAGCCCUGCCAUGGGAGAAGCAGAUGCAUAGGAGAUCUGGAGUUAGCUCUGAGGACCACGGGCAUCUUCAGCCAUCACAUCAAGGUUCACUUCUGAGAAGUGGGACUAUCCAUCCCAGGUACAGUGCAGAUGAGUACUCUACCUUGUAGCUCCAGUUUCGCAUGAUAUCUGCUUUGAUUUGUUAUUGUCAGUGCAAAGUAACAAGGAAGCUACCUACAUUGGCUCUGCCCUCUCUCUUCCUUUUGUGCUCGUGGCUUUUCUAGCAGUAGCUGCCUGUUUGUGGUUUCCAGCAUUCAAAGAAGAAAUUACACACCUGGGCACGAUGUGAAAUCUCUCUCACCACCAUCUUUUUCGCUGCAUUUAUCCCUACGAAUAUAAAUUGCUAAAAGAGCAGAUGGCCUGGAUAUAUAAACUUUAUUAUGGGUAACAGAAGAGGGGCUGUAGCAGAUGAGAACAUGCAGUGCUCAUGUUUUCCUAAACAGCCCAGUGGUAUCUUUAAAGCAGGAAGAGGGAGGUCUGGUUUGCAGUGGGAUCACCAAGACAGCCCGGAGUUUCAGAUGUAAUUCGCACCAUCAGGCACAGCAUAUAGUAAUCCUCCUUGAUGAUGUUUUAUGCCUUGGAAUCAGUUCUGCCUGUUCUGAUUCUGGUCUGUGAAUAAUGGGAGGCAGCACUACCAGAGGAGAAAGGAUAACCUGUGCUGUUAACUCUGCUGUUUUGGUAGUUCUUUCCUAUCUUAUUCUGUUUUCUUUUCUCUUGUCAAGCCCAUUUCUUUUUUCUUUUGUCAGAGCAGUUUGUGAAAUAUAAAGAAAAAACACUGUCAUGUUCCCCUCUCCAGUUGUCUCCUCUGUGUGUGCAUGCACCAAGAGCGCGUGUGUUGUGUUCAAGGACUGCUAAAUGUCACACAGCUGAACCAGAGCACUUCGGCCACGUGAUGCUGACAAGCUGCAUUCAUGCAUAGCACAUGCCUUUCCUUAGUUCAAAACAGAUGUCGUUUCCCUUGAAAGAUCCUUUUCUGGACCCCCUGAAAAAAGAGUUUGGUAAUUUUAUUUUAUUUUUUAUAGCUUCAGGUUAAUAAGUAUGUUCCCAAGCUGAAUGGAAGACAUGAAAGACAGCAACUAGAUGCUUCUGAGUUAUUGAUCUCCUUUAUCUCCAAAAUAAAUUAUGUUAAGUAGAUGCUCUUAGGGCUGGCUUUUAUGAGAAACACUGCAGUGGCUACGUUUCCCUUUUCUAUCAUGCAGAGGCCCUGCAGCUGAAUCCUACUUAGGACUGUGGAUGUCAUUUUUUCUCAUGACUAUGCAAUGUUCCCGAUGCCCAGCAUACUUCUUACAAUGUUAUUCAGCAGAACAUGGUAAUUAAAAAAAAAUCAUAUGUGUCAUGGCUUGCCUGGCUGCAUGCCAGAGUUGGUUUGAACUCCCCCAUACAGACAGAAAUGACCCUCAGAAAAUGAUUACCCAUCACAGUUGUGGUGAACCACACUGCUGGGUGACUGAGAGGACAUUAAAGGAAAAAUGUACUUUUAAAUGCAUGACAGGAAAACUGGUAGAGAGACAGAAUUGUCAUCUGUUUGCUUUGUGUGCAACGCUUUUUACGCUGAGAAGGAAGGUUAGACUUGAGCAAGCAUGAAGCAGAAAAAAAGAAAUUUAUCAACCAAAAUGCUUGCGUGACUAUUAGUAUGCCUGGGGAAAAAAGCCAUUUUCCAACAGAUGAAAUUAGUACUGCAUCUUUAGUACAUAUUUCACUUUGCCUUAAAAGGAAACAGGUACUGUUUUGAAUUAAAUGAGAUGUUUGCAGAAUUAUAUGCAUGUGUUUCAUUUGUAUGGGUUUAACAACAGAAAGAAUUGGGGGAGAGAAUGGGGAGGUAAAUAUAUUUCUGGCUGCCAAUACUUAUGCUUCUAGGUAAUUUUAAGAAACGGGCUUUAUAGUUGCUCUGUGUGCUAUAAAGUUCCUUCUUCUCCCAUUUAGAAAUUCCCUUUGUAACACAUGACCACGAAAGGCUCUUCUACAUCUCUCCUCUAGCUCAGUAAAAUUGCAGUCUGUAAUAAAGCUCAGUCCCUUUUUGUUUCAAAUCAUUGCUGUGAUCAGUCACGCGGAUUUGUUUGCUGGACUGACCAGAUGUGGACAUCACACUGCAGGAAAUCCAGAAACCUGCAGUGUGGUGAGCAUGGCUGCAUGUCCCUGCCUGGUGUGCAGCUGCAAGGGGAUAAGGUAAACACGAAGGUUGUGCUCUGGCCUCACCUUUGUUUUGGUCCUGCCAAAUAACCUUGGUUAUGUCCAUCCUCUUUCUCUCCUCACGCCUGUGUCACCGGUUUAGCACACAAGCUCUGCGGAGAGCUGUGCUGCAUCCUGUGUCACUGCUGUUGUGCAAAGCAUGAAGACUUGUAGAAGCAAGCAAUCUCCAAGGGUUUAAGUGUCUCUGAUAAAGUCCCAGUUUGCAUCUGAUGACCACUGUCCCUCUGCUCUGCUCCUGUCCUCAUCUCUGCCCAUUCACCACCACCUUCUCCAGGCAUGCAGGCAGCAGCUGAAUGGCCAUGGCUGAAGGUGCUAAUUUUAAUGACAGAGAACUGCACCUAAAACAGGAGAGAGUGAGCAGAGGGAUUAUUUUCCCCUGUUACUGAUCCUAAAAUAUUUAGGAUCAUAAAUAUAAUAAAUAUUUUAGGAUCAGUUCAACAGCAGCCUGGUUCAUCAGCUGUGCCCAGGUUUGAGAGCAAUGGAGCCAUCCCAUGCUGCACCCACAGACCAUCUUUGUGGGUCAGCUGAUUUGCCCUCUUCACAAGAAACCCAGAGACCUGCUGUAACGCUUUUAAUUAACUUUCUGUGCUCAGAAAGCCUCAGUUGGCUUUGAAGGAAAUAGGUCAGUUUACACAAGUAAUGAAUUUGGCCCUAAGAACAUAAACAGUUAUCUCUAAAAUGUCGGUCUUCAGUCAUUUCUUUGGACAUGUCUUCACAGUGAACCAGACAACACUAGAAAAGAUCUCAGCCUUUUGAAUGUCAGUGUGGGUGAUGAAUUAAUUAUCAGGAAUUGUACAAGCUUUUGUUAAGCAUAAAAGAUUAUUUACAGCAAGCUAUUUUAGGUUUGAGCCGCAAUGGGAACAGUCUGACUCACCUACACUGCCUCCUAUUAAAUCAAUCCAAGUAACUAACAUGGUCAUCACCUUUGUAGAUGUUUUAUGUGGAGGAGGAAUACUUUUUAAAACUUGGCAACAGCAGUUAUUAGCUGAGAAUAUGAUCCUUCCAGCAGUGUUUGUGUACUGAAUUUAUUAAGGUUAUUUUAAACUUGGAUGACAUCUUCGGCAUCCUCCACUGUAUAUUAUGGCUGCCCCUAUCAAGGAACGCAGCUGGAUUUCUCAUCCUGGUCUUCAAGUCAUGGUGUCUCUGUACAACAAAAUCAAUAAACUGAAAUGGACUUACGAUAAAGCUGUAUUCACAUGGUAUACACAAUUUAAAGUAUCAUCUUUUUUUUUUUGGUGCCAUUUUCAAAGGCCUUAGCGAAAUGAAAGUCAUUACUUCAGAAGAGUAAGAGAGAUGAUUUUGCAGCAUUGCUUGAAGCUUUUGAGUUUCACAUGCCAGGAAAAAUGAUAGGGGACAUUUAGUCAAGGUGUAACUUUGACUGGUCCCUGCCUCCUAUAGAUACUGAAUAAGGGGGCCUUAAGAACAACCUGCCCUGUUGUUUGCCUGCACUUCCACUUGCAAGGGAAGGCACCCAGGGGGAGAAGGCUGCUGCAGCUCCUGCAGCCUCCACCCUGCUCAGCCACCGCUUGUGCUGAUGUGCUGCCCUCUCCAUCACUGUGACUGGGCUCUGCUCCAACCUGUCACCAAAACCAGUUAAACAGGCACAAAUAAAGAGAUU